rnacentral:piRNA from 1 species
UGUGACUGGCAAGACAAGACAGCAGAC